GAAAGCCUUGUGGAGACCUCUAGAUUUUUAAAUUCCCUCCGUUUUUCUCAUGGAUGGAGUGUGGUCUCUCUGUAAAUUACCCCAUAUCUUUUUAUUUUCCUAUUUACCGAAGGUUCCAUGUGAAAAUUUCCAUUGGAUCAUAUCUGUUAAACUAAAUGUACAAAACAGGCUCAAGAAAAGGCGAAAUUUCUUUUUCAAACCCGACCUAGAAAUCCAAAUUUCUCUGUGUGUGCCAUUGCAAGAAAUAGUUUUGCUCGUUAUUUUGUCAUAUUAAAAAAAAAUCUCAACAAAAUUUUCCCGUUUAAACUGUACUAGAAAAAAGUUUGGCAUGUGAAACGGACGAAGACAUAUUCUAACAGAAGUACAAGUACCAGUCCUCCCUUUUGUGUAUACAUAUGAGAAAACAUUUCAAAGUUAUUGAUUGAAUUCAAAUCCAUCACACAUACGGUACACAUUGUAGUCCGAAAAUAUAAAGGACUUCAUUCC
rnacentral:lncRNA from 1 species